rnacentral:rRNA from 1 species
UACGUAGGGUGCGAGCGUUGCCCGGAUUUAUUGGGCGUAAAGGGCGCGUAGGCGGCUCGGCACGUCCGUUGUGAAAUCGCUCGGCUCAACUGGGCGAGGUCGGCGGAUACGGUCGAGCUUGAGCAAGCUAGGGGGCAAUGGAAUUCCCGGUGUAGUGGUGGAAUGCGUAGAUAUCGGGAGGAACACCAGUGGCGAAGGCGGUUGCCUGGAGCUUUGCUGACGCUGAGGCGCGAAAGCGUGGGGAGCGAGUCCGG